CAGCCGCCGCGGGAAUACGUAGGUGGCAAGCGUUGUCCGGAAUUAUUGGGCGUAAAGGGCUCGCAGGUGGUUUCUUAAGUCUGAUGUGAAAGCCCCCGGCUCAACCGGGGAGGGUCAUUGGAAACUGGGAAACUUGAGUGCAGAAGAGGAGAGUGGAAUUCCACGUGUAGCGGUGAAAUGCGUAGAGAUGUGGAGGAACACCAGUGGCGAAGGCCACUCUCUGGUCUGUAACUGACGCUGAGGAGCGAAAGCGUGGGGAGCGAACAGGAUUAGAUACCCGCGUAGUCCCUGUCUCUUAUAC
rnacentral:rRNA from 1 species